rnacentral:tRNA from 1 species
GGGCCCUUAGCUUAGUCGGUUAGAGCGUCCGACUCAUAAUCGGACGGUCACCGGUUCGAAUCCGGUAGGGCCCA